GCGAGGCUCGUCUAGCCUGGUCUAGGACGUCGCCCUCCCAAGGCGGCGACGCGGGUCCGAAUCCCGCGCCUCGCACCA
rnacentral:tRNA from 1 species